GUAGGUGGCAAGCGUUGUCCGGAAUUAUUGGGCGUAAAGCGCGCGCAGGCGGUCCUUUAAGUCUGAUGUGAAAGCCCACGGCUCAACCGUGGAGGGUCAUUGGAAACUGGGGGACUUGAGUACAGAAGAGGAAAGCGGAAUUCCAAGUGUAGCGGUGAAAUGCGUAGAGAUUUGGAGGAACACCAGUGGCGAAGGCGGCUUUCUGGUCCGUAACUGACGCUGAGGCGCGAAAGCGUGGGGAGCAAACAGGAUUAGAUACCCUGGUAGUCCACGCCGUAAACGAUGAGUGCUAAGUGUUAGGGGGUUUCCCGCCCCCCUUAGUGCUGCAGCUAACGCAUUAAGCACUCCGCCUGGGGGAGUACGGCCGCAAGGCUG
rnacentral:rRNA from 1 species